CCGCUCCAUGAAGAGGAUGGCCUUUCCCAAAUAGAGGAGGACCAGUCUUUAGUCAAGGGUAUACGAGUAACUACACUUCCCUGCUAGAACCUCCAAACAAGCUCUCAAUUGCAUUACCCCCACUGAAGAUGGGCCAGCUGCUCUGCACUGGGACAAAAGGAGGGGUGCUGAUU
rnacentral:sRNA from 1 species